CGCCUUGCCACGCCCGCUCCGAAACUCAAAGGAAGUUGACGGGGGCCCGCACAAGCGGUGGAGCAUGUGGUUUAAUUCGAUGAUACGCGAGGAACCUUACCUGGGCUCAAAUGUAUGUUGACGUAUUCUGAAAGGGAUACUUCUUCGGACAAUAUACAAGGUGCUGCAUGGUUGUCGUCAGCUCGUGCCGUGAGGUGUCGGGUUAAGUCCCAUAACGAGCGCAACCCCUACCUUUAGUUGCCAUCAGGUUAAGCUGGGGACUCUAAAGGAACUGCCUACGCAAGUAGUGAGGAAGGCGGGGAUGACGUCAAAUCAGCACGGCCCUUACGUCCAGGGCUACACACGUGCUACAAUGGCCGAUACAGAGGGCAGCUACCUGGUGACAGGAUGCAAAUCUCCAAAGUCGGUCUCAGUUCGGAUCGGAGUCUGCAACCCGACUCCGUGAAGUUGGAUUCGCUAGUAAUCGCGCAUCAGCCAUGGCGCGGUGAAUACGUUCCCGGGCCUU
rnacentral:rRNA from 1 species